ACGUAGGGUGCGAGCGUUAAUCGGAAUUACUGGGCGUAAAGCGUGCGCAGGCGGUUCGCUAAGACAGGUGUGAAAUCCCCGGGCUUAACCUGGGAAUGGCGCUUGGGACUGGCGGGCUGGAGUGCGGUAGAGGGGGGUGGAAUUUCACGUGUAGCGGUGAAAUGCGUAGAGAUGUGGAGGAACACCGAUGGCGAAGGCAGCCCCCUGGGUCGAUACUGACGCUCAUGUACGAAAGCGUGGGGAGCAAACGG
rnacentral:rRNA from 1 species